AAACGUUGUAGCGAUGGAGAAAGUUUAAGGGAAAACCUGACCAAACUAAACAAGUUCAGCUUUUGUCUGGAAACACGAGGUCUUGCAUUACGAUGUCUGCAGCCACAUAUUCAGACACCAAAGCAGUUAUAGGAGAGAACCCCAGACUUCCCUCAUCCCAGACACUUCCUCCAGCUCCACCGAGGGGAUCCCGAGGCGUUCCCAGGCCAGCCGAGAGACAUAGUCCCUCCAGCGUGUCCUGGGUCUUUCCCGAGGCCUCCUCCCGGUGGGACAUGCCUGGAACAUCGCCCUAGGUAGGUGUCCAGAAGGCAUGCCCGAGCCACCUCAGCUGACUUCUCUCGAUGUGGAGAAGCAGCGGCUCUACUCCGAGCUCCUCCUGGGUGUCAGAGCUCUUCACCCUAUCCAUGAGAGUGCAACCUGCUACCCUUCGAAGGAAACUCAUUUUUGUAUCUGAGAUCUUGUGCUUUUGGUCAUGACCAUAGGUGAGAGUAGGAACGUAGAUUGACCGGUAAAUCGAAAGCUUUGCCUUUUGGCUCAGCUCCUUCUUCACCACAUCGGUCCGGUACAUCGACCGCAUUACUGCUGCCACUGCACCAGUCCACCUGUCAAUCUCACGUUCCAUCCUUCCCUCACUCGUGAACAAAACCACAAGAUACUUGAACUCCUCCACCUGGGGUAAGGACUUUCCUCCAACCUGGAGAUGGCAAACCACCUUUUUCAAGUGGAGCACCAUGGCCUCGGACUUGGAGGUGCUGA